GACGAACGCUGGCGGCGUGCUUAACACAUGCAAGUCGAACGAAGAGCGAUGGAAGCUUGCUUCUAUCACUCUUAGUGGCGAACGGGUGAGCAACGCGUAAUCAACCUGCCCUUCAGAGGGGGACAACAGUUGGAAACGACUGCUAAUACCGCAUACGAUCUAAUCUCGGCAUCGAGGAUAGAUGAAAGGUGGCCUCUACAUGUAAGCUAUCACUGAAGGAGGGGAUUGCGUCUGAUUAGCUAGUUGGGGGGGUAACGGCCCACCAAGGCGAAGAUCAGUAGCCGGUCUGAGAGGAUGAACGGCCACAUUGGGACGGAGACACGGCCCAGACUCCUACGGGAGGCAGCAGUGGGGGAUCUUCCGCAAUGGACGAAAGGCUGACGGAGCAACGCCGCGUGAGUGAUGACGGCCUUCGGGUUGUAAAGCUCUGUUAAUCGGGACGAAAGGCCUUCUUGCGAACAGUUAGAAGGGUUGACGGUACCGGAAGAGAAAGCCACGGCUAACUACGUG
rnacentral:rRNA from 1 species